CGGGUGAGUAACGCGUGAGGAACCUGCCUCAAAGAGGGGGACAACAGUUGGAAACGACUGCUAAUACCGCAUAAGCCCACGGCUCGGCAUCGAGCAGAGGGAAAAGGAGCAAUCCGCUUUGAGAUGGCCUCGCGUCCGAUUAGCUAGUUGGCGAGGUAACGGCCCACCAAGGCAACGAUCGGUAGCCGGACUGAGAGGUUGAACGGCCAUAUUGGGACUGAGACACGGCCCAG
rnacentral:rRNA from 1 species